ensembl:lincRNA
CCGCUGAGCGCCGAGGCCUGCAGGGUGGCCCCUGAGGUGCCGUCGAUGACUUUGAUGGUCCCGCGACUGGUCACGGCCAGGAUGGCGUUGAGCGCCGGGUGGGGGGAGAGGGGGGGGGGCGGGGGGGUGCGCAGCCCUCGCUCUGCGGCGUCUCCCUGGCCAGAGCGAACAGCGGGCUCUGCAGGGCCACGGCGUGCAGCGGGCUGGGGUAGGGAUACACCUCCCGGCCACCCCGGGACACCAGGUCGCACUGGUACUUGGGGUCCACCCCGUGGCAGAGGAAGGGAGCGGCCAUGGGGUGUGCCCCGGCUUUCUGCGGCCCCACAUCGGCCGGCAGGAUCCUUUCAAGAGCUCGGAAGUCUAGGACGCAGAGACUGAACCCUUCUUCCCCUUUGCUAUCAGCAGUAAUGGUAGCUCAGCUUGUCUAUUUAUCCAACAAAGACUCACUAAGCACCUACUUCGCGCCUCCUGCUGUGACUUCAGCUGCAGCAAUUAACAGGGCACAGCUCCCUGUGGUAAGUGUUGGCGAGGGGACUGUUCCUAAAGGCAGCGUAAAUCCCCCAGGUGCUCGAGCUCAUUUGCACUUGGGACAUCUGCGGACACAGCUGCUGCGGGCCCCAGGAAAGUUCUUCCUGUCCUCACACCUGACUGGCGGCCCUGCCCAGGCCAACCCCGCGUGGGUGGCAGGGGCCCUGCCUGAGCCGCGAGCUACCCAAGUGUGAGACAGAGAUGGGUGCGAAGGCCCUGCGAUCGCCCCUUCACUGCAGAAUGGGGAUCACUCCCGACGCUUUCCCUGUAGGAGAGACGUGAGCUUGCUAAUCGCUGGGCUGAUGUCACACAAACUCAACUCUUCUCCUCUCCUGAGCACACAGUCUGUGCCAAGAACAAAGUUUCAAGACAAAGCGUGCGUGUUCCUUCUGGUCCCCACAUUAAAAAAACAACAAAAAAACCGGUUUGAUCUUCUCUCCCAAAAGGCUACUUGUAAUUAGAGGCUGAGAACCCACAAGUCUGAUCUGUAUGUGACUUAAGCUCAGUUAAUCAUCAACUGUGCUCCUGCUCCCCCACAGAGCAAUGCACAGCAGCACCCCGGAGCUCCUUCCCGUCACACGCGUGUCAGGCACCUCUGCAGGCUUUUGUGUGCCUCCUCCAGGGAGGCUGUGUCUGGGCGCGCGCGCACACACACACAGAACCUACACCUGCUGGGUGGGGGGUGUGGAAACCCCCUAAUCCCCCCGCUGGGUGCCGGCCCCCUCCCUUCCUGGGAGGGGCUGGGGAAUCCCAGGAGGAGAGGCUGCACCAGCAGGAGUCCUGGGAAGCAUCGCAAGACCCUGGGCUUCCGGAUGCUCUAACCCAGAAGCAGCUCACAAAUCACUGGCACGACACGACUGCGCUAAGCUGACAGCAACGUGGCAGGUUCAUCCAGCCUGCUUUGUACAGACGGCAACUUUAAACAGGGCUGAUUUAACUUCUCAGUCAAAAGACUUUCCACUUGGCGUAAUAGAGUCAGUUCUCAAAUAGGCGUCUUUCUGUGGACUGUAGCCCACUCAGUCAUGUCUGACUACUCCUGACCCCAUGGACUGUAGCCCGCCAGGCUCCUCUGUCCAUGGAAUUCUCCAGGCAAGAUUACUGGAGUGGGUAGCCAUUCCCUUCUCCAGGGGACCUUUCUGAACCAGGGAUCGAUCCUGUCUCCUGCCUUGCAGGCAGAUUCUUUACCGCCUGAGCCACCAGGGAAGCCUUCUAAUUUUUCAUUAAAAAAGUACUGCAACCCUGCAAAAACUCUCUUCAGCUGACGCCAGUACAUGAAGUGAAAUCACACAGAUCAAUAACGGGGCAGUGAGCUGAGUGUCCUCAGUGGCACAAAAGGAACCCGCGUGUGGAGGAGUCCGCUGCUGGCCCAGGAGGCUUGGUCCCACCGCCUCUCCGUCCAGAGGACACACCUCUUUUCGCAGGUCAGGUUACAUUUUAAAGUUGGAGAGGCCUCAUCAGACCCCCACUUCCCCCAACAAUGACAGCACCCCAGAGCUCAGCCUGGGCGCAGGCCAGCUGAGGGGCGCACGGCACUCUGUCCCCCGACCCACUCCGCAGGGAGACACUGGCGCCCGGAAUGGGCAUUCCAAGGAGCACCCCCGCAGGGCAAACCGAUUUGAUGCGUUCUUGUCAGCGCAAGAGGGAAACUCCACACAGGAAUUCAUCCUCAAAGUCUGUAUGCGCCGGGCGACACGCAGAGCCCGGCGCAGCCCCAGGGCGCAGGCGGGCUGGGCAGCUCUCAGCA